CCCACAUCUUCAUGGAUAUUAGUCGGGUUCAUUUCCACUGAGCCACAUGGGGGCUCCACUCAAGUCUUUUCUAAUGGUACGUAAAGUGAGCGGGCACUUCAGGGAAAGCCCCUUUAAUGGGCUGAUCCAAAUCCUCCACACUUCCCAGGAGCUCAUUAAGAGAAGCUCAUCGUGAACAUCAGAUAUCCUGGCUCCAGCUUCCAGGCACAGGGCUUCAACUGACACUGGUGUGGAAAAGAAAGAAGUAGUGGGUCCCUGAAUUCUCUCCAGAGUAUAGUUCAAACCUGGCAGGUCAGAAGAGAGAGCCUGAGGGAGCGAAGCUCUGAUGUGUGGGGAGGGAAGGAGAUAGAAGACACCCCACGUAGAAAAGAACGAAAUCCUGUUCUUUUGCAAGGCAGGCCUGAAAACCGAAACGUGGUCUGGAACCAAACCUGCAACAUUUCCCAGGUAUGCCUGUGUACCAGAGUUAAAAUGUUGACCACUUACUGGAAACCUGAUGCUGAAAAAAACUGCUAAAUUUCCCUGGAUGGCCUGACUUUUCAAUGUUACAAAUGGAAAUACCAGCAGCUCUAAGGACAUCAAGGUUGUGUAUGUAAAGCACCUCACGUGUCAUCAAGCGCACGGGAGACACUGAAUAAUAAGGGACUGUUAUUAUCCAAGUACAGGCUUUUAUUGUCUACCUAUCAGCCAGGCAACUCGAAAGUAACCAGGCCAACCCGACUGCAGAGAUUCUGACACAAACACCCAGUGAUUUACCCUACGGCCUCUUCUCCAGCUCUGCCAAACCACAGAAACACAAGCAGCUUUUCACUGUUCCUUCCUCUGGUCUGCAGGUUAAGCCCCAAAUGGAGCCACACCCAGAACCAUUGUCCUGAUUGUUACUGACGAGCUGAGCUAAGUUCAGAAAACCCCAAGUUCUUACUUCUUGGCGAUGGUAACUUGGUUAGUAUCUGAUAUAUUGGAAAGCAGCCCUGGGAGCUGACCUGUGGCUUUUCCAGGCAUCCCCUUGCCUGGAAUGUGUGGGAUAAGCCAGGACCUGAUGUACCUCCUCAGAGCAAAUCCAACUUCAGAGUCCAGUGGCUGGGGCCUCUAAGUCCCUCCCACAACCCCUGUGCCCUCCUCAUUGCUUCUGGCUGCAAAAGUUUGGUCAAAGGGAACCCCAAGGGAAAUCUUUCCACAAAAAAUUCUUCCACUGGAAUAAGUGUAAAAGAAACCUGGUGAGAAACUCUAAGGGCUCUUUUUCCCUGACCAUAUGGCUGUCCCAUAUACAUUUGUUGUUGUUGUUGUUGUUUUGUUUUUUAGGGCUGCACCUGCGACAUAUGGAAGU